ACAAACAACCACUUCAAUUCCAAC
rnacentral:siRNA from 1 species